AUUCGAUUUGGGCGUGAACCCUGCCUGGUUUUGGGGAAUUUUAUUAAACCCUACAUAGUUAUCUCACUCCCUCAACGUCUGCGUUUUGCGAAAAUGAAGAUGGCCAGUCAGCAGCAACAGGCGGCGUCGAUUCGGCCGUGGAUCCUUGAAGUGGUGCCUCUCAUGGUAGUUAUUCUAAUCGCCGCUCAUGUCUUCGCUCUGGUUUACUGGAUCUACAGGCUAGCUACUGAUAAACAGCCUCAGAGAAGGAAGGAGCACUAGGGGGAAGCACUUCAAUUCACAGCCACACACAAGAAGUGUUAAGUGAAGUAUGGACAACGAUGUGAACGCUAGGAUGAGUUGUGGCCCUCGGACACAACCAAGGCCAGUGAAUGAUGGUUAACGACGGCGAGAGAGGGCAACAAUCAAGACAAUAAAGAAAGAGAUGGGUGAUGGAAAGAGGAGACAAUGGACACGACAAGAUGAUGACGACGACGACGAUCGAUAUGAUGACCAAUAUGCAAGUAGGAGUUGGUGAUCAACACGACAAAAUAGGAGAUCUGGCAACGACGAUUGUCCAAGGAUGGAGACAGUGGUUGAUCUACUGGAGAUGGCAUUGCUAUAAUGCGAGCAAUGGAGGAGGCAUAGAAGAAGAAGGGGGAUAUAGUUAUAAAUGUGUAGAAUGUUUGAAGAUAAAUCUUUAAAUUUAUUGAUCUACACAAAAAGCUCAUAAUAGCAUUUUUGAAAAAGUGUCGGGGAAGAGAGCUUUUGUCAAAUGUUGAUGAAUUAAUUUUAAACUUAGUAGGGUUUAUGCUACCGGAUAUUGUUAAAUAUUU